GAGGUCGCCAAUGCGAUUAUCGUAACGUAAUGAUUUCCUUGCGACGGCAAAAAUAUCGGAUUUUACCCAAGUUCAAUUGCUUUGAAAAAGGUGAAAAAUAUAUUGUAUGAGCAAACAAUUGAUAUGUAAUUAAAGUUCAGACAUUUAUCUUUCUAAAUAUAUAAGUUUUAUGGGUAUUGCAGUGAUUUGGUUCGAUAAAAAAAAUGUUUGAAGUGGAGUUGUUUUGAAAAAAAUGGCCGCCGGAAAAACUAUGUGUCAAAGGUACUACUGAUUUUGAAAUUCAUUCCGCAAGCUUUUACUCGUCAGAUUUUCUUCCUUGAUGGCUUAAAAUUUUGGAAAUAUAUUCAAGUUUUAUGAUCCGGUUGUCAGUCAUACUUAACGGUCGAUUUUCAGUAUAGAUAUGAAAAAUCUUUGAAAUAGAUGUGAAAAAAAAAUCGUUUACGACUUUGUAAACACCACUGACACUCGGAUUCAUAAAUUCCAGAACUCUCUUCUUCCACACGUAUCCAUGGUUUCACAUGAAAAACAAUAGCGGCUUGCGGAAUUGAUUGGAUAUUUGUAUGAGCAAGGCGUGGUUUUCACGCAAAAAAUCUGCGAAAAGAGUUAUCUGUUCUUGACUUCCGGAAGUGACGUAUCCGCCAUUGUGUCUAACAUGAAACAUGAAACUUGUAACAAAAUGACUUUUACCGACUAUUUUUUGGACGGACUGCUUACUGAGAGGACAGACAACGUUGGAAAUAGGCCACGGAGGCCAAUCACGUAAGGAAUGAUACUGUCUGUCCAUCCAUCUGCCUGAAAGGAUCUUCUCCCAGUUAGACAGUCUCAUCAGAGUCAUGUGGAGAGUCACUAUACCAACGCCCUGGAGGGAAAUACCAAUAUUGGACUCAAAACCCAUACAGUGAAUUGGUUAGAAAGAAUGGAUGAAGCACAUCCUGAACAUAUAUGGUAAAUUCUGGUGAAGAAACAGCUCGGACCUGAAAAUAUAUACUUUAGAACAUUCAAUAAACUUAGUCAAAUGAUGAAUAGUUAAUGUAUCAUUAUUAUAAUGAAUACCAAAACAGUUCAGAUAGUCACUAUUGCAAAUCCCAAUGGAUUAUUAGACUUAAAGACUGCAUUGAUCUUGGUCUUUAUAUAUAAUAAGUUCUCGACAUAUCCAUUUUUUAUAGGAAUAACAGGUUUUUCGCAAAAUAUUUACCAAUUUUUUUGAAUAAUGAGAAUAUUUUAGUGUAAAUAAUACAUUUUCCAAG